GGUUUAAUUCGAAGCAACGCGAAGAACCUUACCAGGUCUUGACAUCCCCUGACAACCCGAGAGAUCGGCGUUCCCCUUCGGGGGACAGGGUGACAGGUGGUGCAUGGUUGUCGUCAGCUCGUGUCGUGAGAUGUUGGGUUAAGUCCCGCAACGAGCGCAACCCUCGACCUUAGUUGCCAGCAUUCAGUUGGGCACUCUAAGGUGACUGCCGGCUAAAAGUCGGAGGAAGGUGGGGAUGACGUCAAAUCAUCAUGCCCCUUAUGACCUGGGCUACACACGUGCUACAAUGGGCGGUACAAAGGGUCGCGAACCCGCGAGGGGGAGCCAAUCCCAAAAAGCCGCUCUCAGUUCGGAUUGGAGUCUGCAACUCGACUCCAUGAAGUUGGAAUCGCUAGUAAUCGCGGAUCAGCACGCCGCGGUGAAUACGUUCCCGGGCCUU
rnacentral:rRNA from 1 species